UACGGGGGGGGACCAGUGUUAAUCACAUUGAUUGGGCGUAAAGGGUAUGUAGACGGUUUAACCAACCACAUUUAAAAGCCUACAUAAAGUGUAGAAAAAGUGUGGUAUUGUUUUACUAGAGUUUUUUAGAGGAUAGCGGUAUUCUUAGAGGAGUUGUGAUAUCCGAGGAUACUAAGAAGACCAUCCAACGGCGAAGGCAGCUAUCCAUGGGAAUCUGACGUUCAGAUACGGAAGCGUGGGGAGCGAAUGGG
rnacentral:rRNA from 1 species